GCUGUCUUAGCUCAGUUGGAAGAGCAGCAGAUUUGUAAUCUGCAGGUCGUGAGUUCGAGUCUCACCGGCAGCUCCA
rnacentral:tRNA from 1 species